AACGCGAAGAACCUUACCAAGGCUUGACAUAUACCGGAAACGGCUAGAGAUAGUCGCCCCCUUGUGGUCGGUAUACAGGUGGUGCAUGGUUGUCGUCAGCUCGUGUCGUGAGAUGUUGGGUUAAGUCCCGCAACGAGCGCAACCCUUGUUCUGUGUUGCCAGCAUGCCUUUCGGGGUGAUGGGGACUCACAGGAGACUGCCGGGGUCAACUCGGAGGAAGGUGGGGACGACGUCAAAUCAUCAUGCCCCUUAUGUCUUGGGCUGCACACGUGCUACAAUGGUCGGUACAAAGGGCUGCGAUACCGUGAGGUGGAGCGAAUCCCAAAAAGCCGGCCUCAGUUCGGAUUGGGGUCUGCAACUCGACCCCAUGAAGUUGGAGUUGCUAGUAAUCGCAGAUCAGCAUGCUGCGGUGAAUACGUUCCCGGGCCUUGUA
rnacentral:rRNA from 1 species